GGGUGGGUAGUCUAGCUUGGUAUGAUUCGAGAUUUGGGAUCUCGAGGUCAGGGGUUCAAAUCCUCUCCCACCCACCA
rnacentral:tRNA from 2 species